CACUCAGUUAUCCCUUUACUGAGCCCAGCAAUGUGUGUAUAUUAACCAGAGAGACUCCUUCCCUAGAACUACUUGUAAUACAAACAUUCCACUGAAAUCCAUGGCACUCUAGAAUGGAACUAGUGCAUAUGGUCACAAAGCCGAUGUGGUGUUCCAGAAAGACACUGCUGGGCGAAUUGACAGAUGGACCUAAAAAAAGGAUGUGGCCUUGAGAAACACCCCACAUGCACCGGCCAAGCAUCUCCACCAGAUAAGAAAGCUCCCAAGACAGAGCAAAGAAGACAUGUUCCGGAAGGUACUGCAUUUCUCCAGUGCAGAGAAAAGGGAACGCAAGGAGUGCAGGGAAGCCAAAAGGCAGGACAGAAAAGAAAAUCAGGACUUUGUUAAGGACGCUGAGUGGAAAAUUAAAGUCAUGGAGGACCAA